rnacentral:rRNA from 1 species
AGUGAACGCUGGCGGUAGGCCUAACACAUGCAAGUCGAACGGCAGCACAGUAAGAGCUUGCUCUUACGGGUGGCGAGUGGCGGACGAGUGAGGAAUACAUCGGAAUCUACUUUUUCGUGGGGGAUAACGUAGGGAAACUUACGCUAAUACCGCAUACGACCUACGGGUGAAAGCAGGGGAUCUUCGGACCUUGCGCGAUUGAAUGAGCCGAUGUCGGAUUAGCUAGUUGGCGGGGUAAAGGCCCACCAAGGCGACGAUCCGUAGCUGGUCUGAGAGGAUGAUCAGCCACACUGGAACUGAGACACGGUCCAGACUCCUACGGGAGGCAGCAGUGGGGAAUAUUGGACAAUGGGCGCAGGCCUGAUCCAGCCAUACCGCGUGGGUGAAGAAGGCCUUCGGGUUGUAAAGCCCUUUUGUUGGGAAAGAAAAGCAGCAGGUUAAUACCCCGCUGUUCUGACGGUACCCAAAGAAUAAGCACCGGCUAACUUCGUG